GAUGAACGCUGGCGGCGUGCCUAAUACAUGCAAGUCGAGCGAACAGAUAAGGAGCUUGCUCCUUUGACGUUAGCGGCGGACGGGUGAGUAACACGUGGAUAACCUACCUAUAAGACUGGGAUAACUUCGGGAAACCGGAGCUAAUACCGGAUAACAUAUUGAACCGCAUGGUUCAAUAGUGAAAGGCGGCUUUGCUGUCACCUAUAGAUGGAUCCGCGCCGUAUUAGCUAGUUGGUAAGGUAACGGCUUACCAAGGCAACGAUACGUAGCCGACCUGAGAGGGUGAUCGGCCACACUGGAACUGAGACACGGUCCAGACUCCUACGGGAGGCAGCAGUAGGGAAUCUUCCGCAAUGGGCGAAAGCCUGACGGAGCAACGCCGCGUGAGUGAUGAAGGUCUUCGGAUCGUAAAACUCUGUUAUCAGGGAAGAACAAAUGUGUAAGUAACUGUGCACAUCUUGACGGUACCUGAUCAGAAAGCCACGGCUAACUACGUG
rnacentral:rRNA from 1 species